ACUCCUACGGGAGGCAGCAGUAGGGAAUCUUCGGCAAUGGACGAAAGUCUGACCGAGCAACGCCGCGUGAGUGAAGAAGGUUUUCGGAUCGUAAAACUCUGUUGUUAGAGAAGAACAAGGACGUUAGUAACUGAACGUCCCCUGACGGUAUCUAACCAGAAAGCCACGGCUAACUACGUGCCAGCAGCCGCGGUAAU
rnacentral:rRNA from 1 species